rnacentral:lncRNA from 1 species
UCUAAUCAUAAAAGAGAAAUGAGGGGAAAGAAAUAAAAUUGGGGUCAACGAAAUCAGACACCAGCCCACCAGCAGCUUCUUAGUUCACACUGACGUUUCAAUGUUUGGCUAUUGGCCGCCUGCUAUACUCUAAUGGCAAGUCAAUCGCCCAUUUUUCCUGAAAACUGACCGUGCAAAACAUAUCUUUUCUGGUCAUCCUUGACCCAAUCCUUAUUGAAUUUUAACAGCAUAUCGCAAUUAAACUUGAACAGACAUGUUCCGUUACCACCUUCACUAAAUAAAUCUUACUAAUACUGAUAAAUGUUAUCACUUCUUAAUGCAUCCUUUGCUUAACAGGAAAAUACGUGAAUCCAAGUAAAGGAAGCAGUUUUUUUGGGGGAAAAAAAGUUGAGAAAGAAUUCAACAACAGUUGCUGAAGGCCUGCGAAAGAUUUGAUGAGCAAGAUAGUACUCCCUCCGUCCCAAAAUGUAAGAUCAUUUUUGACACUAUGAUAGUAGUACAUGGGAAGCAUUAUUGUGAAAGGCGCUUUCGGUCAAGAGCAAUCAUUGACUUAUCUGUCAAUAUGUGAACGAUGCCAAGUGGGGGAUAUGUGGUCUCUUCCAUCUUCUUUGACCUGAGGUGUUUAGUUGCCCACUGGGGAACUAUUAUUGUCUGAUGUUUACGUUUGCUGCUGUUUUUUUUUAUUCUCCUGCCUCCACUAUUAUUGUAGACUAGAUAAUACCCCACGCGUUGCUGCAGGAAUUGGUUACAAUAUAUUAUGAUGAGAUUUGAUUCUUUGAAACAUGAAUAUUUGAUUUGUAAUAUGAGAAGUAAAACUAAAAAAUAAAUAUGAUUGAUUUUAUUUAAUUAUUGAGGUUACAUGUGUACAUGUCUUUUUG